rfam:Niastella koreensis GR20-10, complete genome.
GCAGUACAAGCGUUGAUGGUUGCGCUCCUGACUUCCAAUCAGGUGGAUAGAGUUCGAAUCUCUAGUGCUGCU